rnacentral:rRNA from 1 species
CAGCACCUCAAGUGGUCAGGAUGAUUAUUGGGCCUAAAGCAUCCGUAGCCGGCGCUGUAAGUUUUCGGUUAAAUCUGUACGCUCAACGUACAGGCUGCCGGGAAUACUGCAGCGCUAGGGAGUGGGAGAGGUAGACGGUACUCGGUAGGAAGGGGUAAAAUCCUUUGAUCUAUUGAUGACCACCUGUGGCGAAGGCGGUCUACCAGAACACGUCCGACGGUGAGGGAUGAAAGCUGGGGGAGCGAACCGGAUUAGAGACCCGAGUAGUCC